CCCUAGAGGGUGAAGAGGUUAAGCUUUCGCUGCUAGAUCUCGGCUUGGAAACUGUCUUUUAAUCAUCUCCCAGAGAAAUGGAGGCAAGGAAGCCAGGCCAAUCCCCUCGCCUUCUCGCCACGUUAGCUUUGCGCUGUUAGCCCCCAAUUUCUGUUCACUGCCGACCUCAAAAGGAGGAAACGCUGGGUUUUAAACCAUUUGAGGCCAAGCGGAGGGCUGAGCCAGUGGUGACAAUAAACCCUUCGUCCUGCUAACAACGAAUCAAAGCAAGAGGGAGAAGGCUCAGGCAGGCUCAGGCCAGGCACCUCAGCCAGUUCUAUAGGCCUGACGUUCGGACCUGGUGUGACUAUCUUCUCUGCUCAAGGUCUCCCAGACUGAUUCCAGACAUCAACCAGCCUAUAUUCCUUUCUGAAGACUCUGAGGAGAAAAUCGUUCCAAGCUCAUUCAGGUUCUUGGCUGAAUUCACUUCCUUGUGGUUGUAGGACUGAAGUCUCCAUUUCCUUGCUAACUACCAGCCAAGGACCAACCUCAGCUGCUGGAAACUGCCUGCAUUCCUGACCACUUGGCCCCUCCAACUUCAAAGCCAGCAGUAGAGAUUUCCUGUGUGUCGAGUCCCUCUGAUACUUCAAUCUCCUCUUCAGGAAGACCCCAGUCCCUUUGAAGGAUUUGCUUGAUUAGGUGGGGUCCACCCAGAAUAGUCUCCCAUUUUUCAAGGAGAGGGUUUUGCCAUAUCUACAACCUAAUCACUGCCGUGACUGACCUGUCAUAUUCACAGGUUCCCAGCAUUGUACGGGAAUAUGUACAAUAGGAGGCAGGAAAUGGGGUAAUCCUAAACUUCCGCCUACCUCACAUGCUAAUAAUGCAAGCCAUGUAAGUGGCUUGUAACCCAAGCAAAUGCUUAAUAUUUAUUUUAGCCACCAUACUGUUCUGGAUGAGUGGCUCUAAAAGUAUGGGCUACAGACCCCUGGAGGUCUCUAAGACCUUUCAGGAUGCCCCUGAGGUCAAAACUACUUUCAGACUAAGACAGGAUUUGCUUUUCCACGCUCAUUCUCUUACAAGUGUUCAUCCUAGUUUCCCAGAAACUAUGUAACAUACCACAACGGAUUUAAUGCAGAUGCUGUGAGAACCCAGCUGUCCCCUAUUGCAGCACAUUAAAGAGAUGUGCAAAAAUGUAAAGCAAUGCCUUUAUAACUAUCUGUUUUGGAAACUUUUUCUGCCCUCUUGGCAUGAAGACAUUCCCAGGCCAGGCAUCGAACCUGAGCCACAGCAGUGAAAACAGCUCCUUAACCCACUGAGCCACAAGAAAACUCUGGAAACUCUUUUACUCUUCAUUUUAGAAACUAAAGUAAAUUAUGAAAUUAUGAUAUUUAA